UGUAACCUACCCAUAUCAGGGGGAUAGCCUCUCGAAAGAGAGAUUAAGCCCGCAUAAAAUCACAUCACAGCAUUGUGAAAUGAUCAAAUAUUUAUAGGAUAUGGAUGGGCAUGCGGAACAUUAGCUAGUUGGUAAGGUAACGGCUUACCAAGGCUACGAUGUUUAGGGGAUCUGAGAGGAUGACCCCCCACACUGGUACUGAGACACGGACCAG
rnacentral:rRNA from 1 species